rnacentral:misc_RNA from 1 species
UCCGAGUUGACCCCGGCAGUCCUCCCAGAGUCCCCGACUUGACUCGCUGGCAACUGGGAGCGGGGGUUGCGCUCGUUGCGGGACUUAACCCAACACCUCACGGCACGAGCUGACGACAGCCAUGCAGCAUCUGCGCUGGUUCUCGACUUUACGAGUCGUUCCCCUUUCGGGGUUCUACUUCCAGCAUGUCAAACCUAGGUGAGGUUCUUCGCGUUGCAUCGAAUUAAACCACACGCUCCGCUGCUUGUGCGGACCCCCGCCAAUUCCUUUGAGUUUCAAUCUUGCGAUCGUACUUCCCAGGUGGGAUACUUAAUGCUUUCGCUCAGACACACACAGUGUAUCGCGUAUGUCGGGUAUCCAUAGUUUAGGGCGUGGACUAC